rnacentral:misc_RNA from 1 species
CUCUUUGAUCUUAUACAGUUAUACUACAUCGUUUUAUGUGAAACUAAAACUGUCGUUCAAUCAAAACAGGGUCUCUCUGCUCCAUUUCACAGCUCCUCCUACAAACCCUAAGGCCUUCACUUGCAGCAGCCGCACCGAUUUGAAUCCGCCACGAUCAUUGUUGUUGGCCUUUGCCGCUCUCCAUAACUGCCGUGGUAGCUGUCGUUCACCUCUUCGAAGCCAUCGCCGUGGCCGUUGCAAUUGAACACAAGGAGGAGGCAAGUAGCCCUAUAUAGCUGUCUACCCCUCUGCCUAAUUGUCUUAUACACAUCGCCGGCGCUGUUGUGUGGUUGAGGUAAAAGAAAGAAAGGAGAGGGAGAGAUGGCA